CGGUGUUUAACUGGCGUGAUGUGGGACGUCCUACCGGUGGGCUUAGCCUCGCGAGGGGCGGCCCAACUAAUAUCCCGUCGCGGUGCUCUUUACUGAGUGUCGAGUCGGGCCGGUACGUUUACUUUGAACAAAUUAGAGUGCUUAAAGCGGGCUAUCCUCGCCUGAAUACUGCGUGCAUGGAAUAAUGGAAUAGGACCUCGGUUCUAUUUUGUUGGUUUUCGGAACCCCGAGGUAAUGAUUAUAGUGUCAGAUGGGGGGCAUUCGUAUGCGACGUUAGAGGUGAAAUUCUUGGAUCGUCUCAAGACGGGACAGAAGCGAAAGCAUUUGCCAAAAAUGUUUUCAUUUAUCAAGAACGAAAGUUGAGGUUGAAGGGGAUCAGAUACCGCCCUAGUUUUAACCAUAAACGAUGCCAGCUAGCGAUCCGCCGAAGUUCCUCUGAUGACUCGGCGGGCAGCUUCCGGGAAACCAAAGCUUUUGGGUUCCGGGGGAAGUAUGGUUGCAAAGCUGAAACUUAAAGGAAUUGACGGAAGGGCACCACCAGGAGUGGAGCCUGCGGCUUAAUUUGACUCAACACGGGAAACCUCACCAGGCCCAGACACCGGAAGGAUUGACAGAUUGAUAGCUCUUUCUUGAUUCGGUGGGUGGUGGUGCAUGGCCGUUCUUAGUUGGUGGAGCGAUUUGUCUGGUUAAUUCCGAUAACGAACGAGACUCUAGCCUGCUAAAUAGGCGUACCUUAUGGUAUCGCGAAGGCCCCCGGCUUCGGCCGGUGGGUUUUUACUACCAACGUACAAACAAAUCUUCUUAGAGGGACAGGCGG
rnacentral:rRNA from 1 species